AGUGAACGCUGGCGGUAGGCCUAACACAUGCAAGUCGAACGGCAGCACAGUAAGAGCUUGCUCUUACGGGUGGCGAGUGGCGGACGGGUGAGGAAUACAUCGGAAUCUACUUUUUCGUGGGGGAUAACGUAGGGAAACUUACGCUAAUACCGCAUACGACCUACGGGUGAAAGCAGGGGAUCUUCGGACCUUGCGCGAUUGAAUGAGCCGAUGUCGGAUUAGCUAGUUGGCGGGGUAAAGGCCCACCAAGGCGACGAUCCGUAGCUGGUCUGAGAGGAUGAUCAGCCACACUGGAACUGAGACACGGUCCAGACUCCUACGGGAGGCAGCAGUGGGGAAUAUUGGACAAUGGGCGCAAGCCUGAUCCAGCCAUACCGCGUGGGUGAAGAAGGCCUUCGGGUUGUAAAGCCCUUUUGUUGGGAAAGUAAAGCAGCAGGUUAAUACCCCGCUGUUCUGACAGUACCCAAAGAAUAAGCACCGGCUAACUUCGUG
rnacentral:rRNA from 1 species